rnacentral:misc_RNA from 1 species
CACCAUCACGACCUCUUCCACCGAAUCUACCCCGGCCACCACUAUCACGUCCACCAAAUCUGCCACGGCCUCCACUGCGUCCGCCGCCACCACCACCACUGUCACCUUUCGGUUUGGCUGCAUCCACAUGUAGUGUAUAGCCACCUAGUUCUGAAUCAUUGAGCUCCAUUGCCUUCGAGAAAGAAUCCUGAUCUUUGAAAUCAACAUAUGCAAUCCCCUUCGACGCGCCAGUUUCAUAAUCUUUGGGUAUGGAAACUCGGGUGAUCUCUCCACAAGAACCAAAAUGCUCUUGAAGAGAGCUACGAAUCUGAUCCUCAUCAUGCGAUGUGUCAAAACCUUUAACAAAUAUAGUUUGGCUAGGACCACCAGCACCACCCUUCUGAAAAGAAUUAUUUUCUGACCGUGGUGUAUAUGCGCCUCUUUCAUGAGCAGUAUCUAAUCUAACAGCACGGCCAAGUAAAUCCUGACCAUUCAAUUCAAGGCCCUUUUGAGCCUCUUCAGGUGUAGUAAACUCAACAUACCCAUAUCCUUUCUUGCGACCGUCACUGUCUUUAACCAAACGAACAUCAGUAACUUCACCUGCCUCCUUAAAAAACUCAGCCAAUGUAUCUUCUUCAGCAUCAAAGGACAAAUUCCCAACAAAUAAAGUCUUUGAACCCUGGGACUGGCCUUGGACAACUGGAGUUUUAGGCGCUUUCUUUUCAGAAGCCACCUUAGGAGCAUCUUUCAUUUUGACAUCUUUAUCCUCAUCCUCCUCAUCUUCUGAAUCAUCUUCAUCUUCAGAAUCUACUUCGCUGCUGUCAUCUUUUUUCACAACUUUGGCACUGGGUUUGACUAUCGGACUAGUAGACUUUGGCUUCUGUGGUUCUUCAUCACUUUCAUCAGAGCUGUCAUCAUCAGAGUCCUCGUCCAUAUUGGAUGGUAUGUUUUUCUGGUUAAUUUCUUUCUUUGCUGGAAGAGAUUGUUUCUUAACAGGGGCAUUAACCUUUGUUGGAGGUACCUCUUCAUCAUCAGAAUCACUUUCUUCAGAGUCGCUCUCAGAGGAUUUUUCAGAUGGUUCCUGAGCCUUAGGGGUAACGAUGGCUCCAUUUUUUG